rnacentral:snRNA from 1 species
UAUCAGUUCUCCAAGGUGAA